GUCAACAGUAGAGUGUGGUUUCUGAUUCGCAUCUAUUUCAAAGGCGACCUUUGGAUGGGGAUUAACGCACAAAGGAAGCCAAGACAGAUCAUCUCAUAAAAGAUUCAUUUGUUUUUGUAACGGCUGUCGUGGGAAGAAGGUGAGGACCAAGGUGCAGCAUGGGCCUGAGCCCUAGGACCAUGCCCCAGGACUACCUGGCCUGAUGAUUCCUGGCUGUCCCCAGUCCACCUGGUCGUGCUGCUGCUCCAGUUUAAACUGUUCUGCCUGCGGUCUUGGAACCCUGACCUGUUCACCGGAUGUGCUACUUUGUCCCUCGUUUACAACCACUGUGAUUAUUAUUUGACCCUGCUGGUCAUCUAUGAACAUUUGAAAAUCUUAAAGAACAAUCUGUCCUUAAUGGCCAUGUACUCUUAUAAUCUCCACCCGGCACAGCCAGUAGAGGACUGGCCACCCCUCAGAGCUUGGUUCCUCUCUAGGUUUCUUUGUAAGGAGUUUUUAAUAGGCACUGCAAUCUGCAUUGCUUGCUGUUUUGGGUUUUAGGUUGGGUUUCUGUAAAACACUUUGUGAUAUAAGCUGAUGUAAAAGGGCUUUAUGAAUGCAUUUGAUUGAUUGAUAGUAUUUCAAAUUGAG
ensembl:lncRNA